GCCUCCGUGGCCCAAUGGAUAAGGCAUCGGUCUCCUAAACCGGGGAUUGUGGGUUCGAGUCCCACCGGAGGUG
rnacentral:tRNA from 1 species